GGCCUGGUUGCGGAUGGUUCGCACCUGCAUGCAAUAAUGAACCCCGCAGCGCGAUGAAGCAUUUCGCAGGAUACGCUCGUUCGAUUCGAGCCUGGGCCC